rnacentral:rRNA from 1 species
UACGGGAGGCAGCAGGGGGAAUAUUGGACAAUGGGCGAAAGCCUGAUCCAGCCAUGCCGCGUGUGUGAAGAAGGUCUUCGGAUUGUAAAGCACUUUAAGUUGGGAGGAAGGGCAGUCAGCGAAUACCUUGCUGUCUUGACGUUACCGACAGAAUAAGCACCGGCUAACUCUGUGCCAGCAGCCGCGGUAAUACAGAGGGUGCAAGCGUUAAUCGGAAUUACUGGGCGUAAAGCGCGCGUAGGUGGUUUGUUAAGUUGAAUGUGAAAUCCCCGGGCUCAACCUGGGAACUGCAUCCAAACUGGCAAGCUAGAGUAGGGCAGAGGGUGGUGGAAUUUUCCUGUGUAGCGGUGAAAUGCGUAGAUAUAGGAAGGAACACCAGUGGCGAAGGCGACCACCUGGGGCUCAUACUGACACUGAGGUGCGAAAGCGUGGGGAGCAAACAGGAUUAGAUAACC